rnacentral:tRNA from 1 species
CGGAGUGUAGCUCAGCUUGGCUAGAGCACUUGCUUUGGGAGCAAGGGGUCGUGAGUUCAAAUCUCGCCACUCCGA